CCCUCUAUCAACAUCUAGAAGCCUCUAUCGAAUAGAGCAUGGAGCCUCUAUAUAUACCGAAAUUCGGUGAUUGUUUCAGGUUGCCACAGAAAGUGCAGAAAUCCAUCAAGCAAAUAAUCGUAGCCCACCAGUGUACACCCUUCUACUGAGUUACUGAGCCAAAUCUUUAGAGUGAAAUAGAGAGAGAGAGAGAGAGAGAUUCAGGGAAGGGGAUUGUCACCUCAUCAUCUCAGCGGUUAGUUCUUUCUGAGCCGAUUUGCCUUCGAAUUUCUGGAUUAGGUAGCAUUUGAGGUGUUGUCAAUUGUGAAGCUGCUGCUGCUGCUGACAUUCCAAUUAUCUUUCUCAGGCCCAACAAAAGAGCUCCUCCUAAGUUAGUCGAACUUCAGUUGAUUAACCCUUGAGUCAAGUGAUGGCAUCUUCGAGUAGGACGAAGCGAGUGGAAAGAUUGUUUGGAGGGACUAAAUGUAAUAGUAUGUUUUUUGCGUGGAGAUGAAUUGGAUCAAGUUGAUUCAAAGAGAUGGAAAAGAACAUUCGAUAAUGCAUCCAAGGAAUAGCAGCCGUCAAAGACUUCUGAUACACCAAGUUUCACACCAAUUUAUUCAUUGUAAUCAGAACAUUUCCAUUUUGUACAAACCAAACCCUUUAUGUAAAAUAUUAUGGAAUACAAUGUAAACAAAUGAAAUCCCGCAGCAAAGCACGGGCAAAUCUUUCUAGUUUAUUCAAAAGAAGGGUUGCUCGUUCUCCUCUGUCCAAUUUGUACGAUAUUUUCUGAGUUUAUCGAGCAUGCUUUGUUCUUA